rnacentral:rRNA from 1 species
CGGAUUGUAGUCUGCAACUCGACUACAUGAAGCUGGAAUCGCUAGUAAUCGCAGAUCAGAAUGCUGCGGUGAAUACGUUCCCGGGUCUUGUACACACCGCCCGUCACACCAUGGGAGUCGGAUAUGCCCGAAGCCAGUGACCCAACCGUAAGGAGGGAGCUGUCGAAGGUGGAGCCGAUAACUGGGGUGAAGUCGUAACAAGGUACC